GUCUACGGCCAUAACGCCCUGAACAAGCCCGAUCCCAUCUGGUCUCGGAAGCUAAGCAGGGUCGGGCCUGGUUAGUACUUGGAUGGGGGACCACCUAGGAUGACCAGGUGCUGUAGGAG
rnacentral:rRNA from 1 species